rnacentral:rRNA from 1 species
GAGUUUGAUCGUGGCUCAGAUUGAACGCUGGCGGUAUGCUUAACACAUGCAAGUCGAACGGUAACAGGCUAGCUUGCUAGCGCUGACGAGUGGCGGACGGGUGCGUAACGCGUAGGAAUCUGCCUAUUAGUGGGGGACAACCUGGUGAAAACCAGGCUAAUACCGCAUACGCCCUACGGGGGAAAGCAGGGGAUCUUCGGACCUUGCGCUAAUAGAUGAGCCUGCGUUAGAUUAGCUUGUUGGUGAGGUAAUGGCUCACCAAGGCGACGAUCUAUAGCUGGUCUGAGAGGACGAUCAGCCACACUGGGACUGAGACACGGCCCCAGACUCCUACGGGAGACAGCAGUGGGGAAUAUUGGACAAUGGGCGGAAGCCUGAUCCAGCAAUACCGCGUGUGUGAAGAAGGCCUGAGGGUUGUAAAGCACUUUC